rnacentral:misc_RNA from 1 species
UCUCCGUAGGUGAACCUGCGGAGGGAUCAUUACAGAGUUCAUGCCCUACCGGGUAGAUCGACCACCCUAUGUUAUUAUUACUUUGUUUCUUUGGCAUGCCGUUAGGCUCCGGCCCGACUACCGGCCCCGGCUGGUAAGCGCCCGCCAGAGGACCCAAAACCCUGACUAUUAGUGUCUUGUGAGUACUAUAUAAUAGUUAAAACUUUCAACAACGGAUCUCUUGGUUCUG